UUUUUCCGUUCUGCAAAAUUUGAGAACUGAUAUCACAUUGUGAUCUGUUUCCUGUGUCUUUGGUUUCAGUUAUGGCCGAUACUGAUAAGAAGAAAUGGAAGGCGAUGCGACAGUUCACACUGUCCACCUUGCGAGAUUUUGGAAUGGGGAAGAUAAGAAUGUCUGAGGGGAUGCAGGAGGAAGCCCAUUGUCUGGUGGAGGAAAUGGCUACCACAAAAGGGCAUCCUUUUGACCCAAGAAGAAGUUGUGCAAGUGCUGUUUCUAAUGUGAUCUGUGCAGUAAUCUUUGGCAAUCGAUUUGAUUACAAAGAUCACACCUUCAUAAAGAACCAGGAGAUUGUGGAGUCUCAAAUAAGAUUUCUUUAUAGUUUCCUAGGAAUGGUAUGUUUUUCCUCUCUGAUGCUUAUCCUGAUACCCCAUUUUUCCUACUAGGUCUCUGUGUGUGUGCAAACGUCCAAAUCAGAAUUGGAAUGAGCUACUAAGCAUGAGCUAUCAAAUCAAGACAUCCAGUGGGAUUGAGCUAUUCAAACAUAAAUUGAUUCUCAGCAAACCUUUCCUAGCUAGGCUUAUUUCCUAGGAGACCAUUUCCUUCUUUCGGAACUCCUUUGGUUCCGGAUCUGCUUAUUCUAGAAUCACUGAUUUUUUAUAAAUUAAUAAGGACAAUGUCAAUAUUACAAUCAAACUAAUUAUUAUAUUUUACAAAGUAUUAUAACAUUUUUUAAAGUGCAAUG